GACGAACGCUGGCGGCGUGCCUAAUACAUGCAAGUUGAGCGCUGAAGGUUGGUACUUGUACCGACUGGAUGAGCAGCGAACGGGUGAGUAACGCGUGGGGAAUCUGCCUUUGAGCGGGGGACAACAUUUGGAAACGAAUGCUAAUACCGCAUAAAAACUUUAAACACAAGUUUUAAGUUUGAAAGAUGCAAUUGCAUCACUCAAAGAUGAUCCCGCGUUGUAUUAGCUAGUUGGUGAGGUAAAGGCUCACCAAGGCGAUGAUACAUAGCCGACCUGAGAGGGUGAUCGGCCACAUUGGGACUGAGACACGGCCCAAACUCCUACGGGAGGCAGCAGUAGGGAAUCUUCGGCAAUGGACGAAAGUCUGACCGAGCAACGCCGCGUGAGUGAAGAAGGUUUUCGGAUCGUAAAACUCGGUUGGUAGAGAAGAAUGUUGGUGAGAGUGGAAAGCUCAUCAAGUGACGGUAACUACCCAGAAAGGGACGGCUAACUACGUG
rnacentral:rRNA from 1 species